UGUUUUGGGGCCGUCUGGUAUCCGGCCCUUGAGAGGGGGGUUCUGUAACGGUCUAAUAGUUAGGAUUUUGUAAGUGUUUUCUGUUAACUGUUAGAUCUCUGUUGUUUUCAUGUGUGCACUCUGUUUCUCCUUGUGUGUUCUGUUUCCUGUUUUAUUUUGUAGUCUCUCCUUCCUUGUGUGUUGUUUCCAGCUUCUCGUGUGUCACUUCCUGUCUCGGUGAUUGUCUUUCCCAGUCCUCAUGUGUUGCACCUGUGGCUAGUUACCCCAGCCUUCCCUGUGUCUCUAUUUAAGCCUCUGUGUUCCCCAAGCCCUUGGUCGGUUUGUUUGUUGUUCUACACAUUUCUAGACGUCGUGAGAUAUGGAAAUCCCUUGUUGAUGCCUUGCUCGAUUUGGUGUGCUAAACUAGAGAAGGUGUGGCGUUCACCUUAAACCUGGCUGGCUGGAGGACCACACCAAACUUGCCUUCCAGACUGGGCAGAGAGUGGCCUGAUGGUACAGAGAGGGUGAAGUGCUGUAGGAUCCAAGAAAGGAAGAGGAAGAGCUCCAUCUUGGCCAAGGCCUCACCCAGACAGACUCUGACCCCUGCACCAAAUGGCAGGUAGCUGGACGACGGAAUGAUCAGACCUGUGCCUUCAUUGUUUAAGAACCGACCUGCAAAGGGAGAAUUCUGGGGUUAGAAUCAACAUUCCUCAUACCAACAGCAGUGUUUGAUGUUCUUGGGUGAUCAUAUUUUGGGUCUUUGUAAGAAAUACUUAAUUGUCUAAGAAUCAUGCAACCAUGCCAUCUUGCAGGGCCAGUUAUUAAAAGUCAUCUAGGUAUUCA